UUCAAUUACAGUAACUAAUUACACCCAAGACUGAUUGUGGCCUAUUUUUACGGAUAGUUUUGCAGUGUAGACUGAAAGAAGAGAAGAGGUGCAGUAGUCUCCAGCUGGAAGGACAGCAGAUCUGAGCUGUGUUAGAGAGUACAGUAUCCACACCUGACCUCCUGACCUCCUGACCUCCUGACCUCCUGACCCCGCCACAGGAUCUUCUAAGAAAUACUUCAUCUGGUGCAUAUUACAUUUUUCAUCUUUCUUUUGGGGUAGGCUCCACCCUGCCUUCGUCUUCGGAGAUUCGAGAUCGGUCUAUAAUUAACUAGUUCUUCUGGGUCUGUCUUUGUUGAAUAGACUUUACAUCUGUUAAAGUGGAGAUGAAAUAUAUCUGAGCGUAAUGGAGUAUCAGAAACAAUAAAUAGGGCGGAGCCUGGAUCUGUGUAUCGGAUGUUGAUUGGAUAUUGAGAUGUGGGAAUGGAUCUCAGAUGAGGGGCGGAGUCUCAGAGCUAAAUGAUUGGAGAAAUCCUGCACGUCACCAGACAGAAGAUCCAGAUCGGUCAAGUGCAGGUCAGCUGUAAAAGACUCUUUUGAUUGUCCAGCACAGUUCUGGUCCUGAUGAGGCUGUGGAUGAGGAAGACUCUGCUCAGAUCAUCCAUCACUCAUCACUCAGUCUUCUCUCUCCUUCUGAAACACAGUGACAUUCACAGGUGACUAACUACUAACCUUAACCAUAGCUAGUACUGUCUAGUACACAGACUCACACACAGCAGCUGUUACUGAGGGGUGUGUGUGUGUGUGUGUGUGUGUGGUCAGAUUACAGUGCUAUAAUCGUAUCACAGCUCCUCGUUCUCAAACAGCUGAAAGUCUUUCUCUUUCUUAUACUCUUUUCUUUUUAUCCUGGAUUACAAUACAGAUUAUAGAGCUCUGGUUACCAGAGGAGAAUUUACACGCUAACAACACGCACACACACACACACACACACACACACACACACACACACACACACAACACACACACACACACACACACACACACACACACAGGCCUUCAUCAUUAAACAAUGAAACACCAUGAACUCUACUCAACUCACAAACUUAGAGAGAAGUUAGA